rnacentral:rRNA from 1 species
UACGUAGGGUGCAGGCGUUAAUCGGAAUUACUGGGCGUAAAGGGCGCGUAGGCGGUCAGCACAAGUCAGUUGUGAAAUCUCCGGGCUUAACUCGGAAAGGUCAACUGAUACUGUGCGACUAGAGUGCGGAAGGGGCAACUGGAAUUCUCGGUGUAGCGGUGAAAUGCGUAGAUAUCGAGAGGAACACCUGCGGCGAAGGCGGGUUGCUGGGCCGACACUGACGCUGAGGCGCGAAAGCCAGGGGAGCGAACGGG